CCUACGGGAGGCAGCAGUGAGGAAUAUUGGUCAAUGGACGAGAGUCUGAACCAGCCAAGUAGCGUGAAGGAUGACUGCCCUAUGGGUUGUAAACUUCUUUUAUAUGGGAAUAAAAUGUUCCACGUGUGGGAUUUUGUAUGUACCAUAUGAAUAAGGAUCGGCUAACUCCGUGCCAGCAGCCGCGGUAAUACGGAGGAUCCGAGCGUUAUCCGGAUUUAUUGGGUUUAAAGGGUGCGUAGGUGGAUUGUUAAGUCAGUUGUGAAAGUUUGCGGCUCAACCGUAAAAUUGCAGUUGAAACUGGCAGUCUUGAGUACAGUAGAGGUGGGCGGAAUUCGUGGUGUAGCGGUGAAAUGCUUAGAUAUCACGAAGAACUCCGAUUGCGAAGGCAGCUUACUGGACUGCAACUGACACUGAGGCUCGAAAGUGUGGGUAUCAAACAGGAUUAGAUACCCCAGUAGUC
rnacentral:rRNA from 1 species